AAAUGCAUGUUUACGCUUUAGAAUGCAUGCUUUCCAGGAUAGAAAUGGACUCUACAGCAAUACCAGUGAUACAUGCUGAAAAUUUUCUGAGAAUAUAGAAACCCAGGAAGCAACAAACUACACUGCAAAAUUUAAGAAUAGGUGCAAGACAAGGAAUAAUUGAUCCAGUGUGAAAAAUAAAUAGUCAAUUAUACUGUUCUCACGUAGAUAUGUAAAUUCUAUCCAAUUUUUUUGUUCACAAGCAAAGAAGUAUAUUAUUAGUGUUAGGAAAAUGUAAUGGGUGCAUGGGAAACAAUAAUUUCUACUUCAAACAUGUUAGUUACAGCACAAACAAUUGUUGCAUUACGAAAAACAAAAUGUAUGGUAUAUGAAGCAAAUAAAUAUUCAUAACAGCACGGUUGUAUAUUGGAAAGAGCAACUUGCAAGACUAAACAGAUUCCUUACAAUUACAAGGAGAGUAAUGGGGCCAGUCUAAGCUAUUAGGAACGCAUACAGAAGAGGCAUAAUCUGCAAUUUCACUUUGACAACAAGGAUAUAACUAAAUGUUGUGCUUCAGAAAAACAGUCAGAAAAGGACAAGAAUUUAUAUCAUUGUCAAUAGGUAUAUGGAAGUUGGAUGUGCACGGAUUUGGUGAACAUGACCUCGAUCUGCACGAAUCCGAUGACGGUGACCUCGAUCUGCAUGAAUCCGGCUUUGACAAGUUGGAUCUAUGGAAGGGACGAUCAUGGCAACGACGCCAUCGCUACAGAUCGACACGCAUGAACGCAUGAUGCGGGACAGGGCAUUGGUGAGAAAUAUGGAUGAUGCACGCGAACGAAUUGGCACUGCCAUCUCCACUGCACUGAAGGAGAUCAAGCCCAUUUCCAUCAGCAUCACCUAGAACCUCCCCUCGACCUGCAUCCUUUUCUUUCUUUUUUAUCUUCCCAAGGUAAGUUGGCAUGCUCCCUGUUCCUGCUUAAGGACGGUGAGAUGGAUAUGGGUUUGGUAUUACUGUUGUUGAUGAACUGCUUUGCCAGACUGUCAAACCAGAUGAGCCUGAAAAGAACUAAGAGAAAUGACUAUUCAUUUACCAAUCUUGUCAUUCUCUGUAUUGUCAAUUUGCCAAUUCGACUGAUGCUUGAAUGUAUUAGUAGACAAAAUGACAUGUUUGUUGAUCAGCUAUGCUAUGUGUUUCCAUUGGCUACUUGCCGCUUUCUAAGGGGCAGAUUUUAGCUUGACAAGAUUUUUGCGAAAACAUAGCAGUGCUCUUGCUCCAAUGAAAAUUCAGAGUAGGGUGUUCCAAACUAGAUUGAUACACGUAGGAAUUUCUGACUGUUUUUUAUGCUGAGAGCUACAUACAUGCUCGCAGCGCUUCGCCUAUCCUAGAACUUUCAUUUCAUUUUUUGUGUUGCUACAAUUUGUCCAUUAAUCGGUAUUCUAGCUGAAAGUUUCAAAGUUGUCAAUUGUUUUCGAAACUCGGUUCACAGAGUGGCUGGUCCUUUUUUGGGACAUAUUUGUUGUGUAUUUUCCCAAUUUCGUCUUGUAUUUUGCCAUACACAGUACAAUUAGCUAAUUGUUAUUAUGCCAAGGUAAAUUGUGCAACGUAUUGCCGCUCUGCCAUGGGUCACAUGGCCGUCCUUCAUACACCGCUUUACUAGGACUAACGCCGAAGUACAGAUGAUGGUGUGUAUGUUUUCACUAUUUCCUCAGUUUUUGUUUCUCCACAGUUUUCUAACUGGGGUCCUCACACAUUUUUUUUGUGUGUACAUUACGUGCCACCUAGAAAAUUCCAAAAGAAGUUGCCUCUUGUUUGGACACCCCAAAACGGGCUGGCAAGACUAAGAUUGGGCAAAGAGAGCUUCAGGAUGACCGUUUAUGACACCUCACUCGACGGUCUAUUCUUCAAGCAAGGAUGGAAGAAGUUCCUCAGGAGACAUGACAUGAGAUUGGCACUGCUAUACUAAUUACAUUUAAGACCAUUGCCAACAAUGAGUUGGAGAUUAUAGUCAUCCUUUUAUGUCCUUUGAGAAGAUCAUGUUGGAUGAGUUCUGGGCUUUCAUGAGUUAUUUAGUCAUUUCUCAGCAUUUUUUUAAAACCAUGGAGGAGAACUGCAUGUGAAAUUCAUAGAUACGAGAAGAAAAGAAUAAAGGCACGUACAAAGUUCAAUUC